GGGCAUUUUGUUUUACCACAUGUCUUUUUGUUUGACAGCUGAGCUCCUGUGACUUCUACUCUGUGCAGAUGACUGCACGCUCACGGAGCAUAGUCUGGAUGACAUUCAGCUGAUUGUUGACGCAACGCAGAAGUUUUGGCUGUCAGUCAAAAUCAAAAAGACACAAGUGAUGUUCCAGCCAAGCCCCAACGGAUCUUAUUUUGAUCCAGAAGUUUCAAUUUAUGGGAUGAAUCUGGUGUCAGCCACAACGUUUUGCUACCUUGGAGUUCUAAUGUCACCCUGGAUGAUGAGACUUCACAGUGGAUCUCAAAAGCCACUGUAGCUUUUGAGUUUUUUUGUUUGGAAGAGUCAUGGUGAUAGCUGACCACAAAGAGCAGGGUCUACACGGAGGGCUGCUGUAUUGACUUCCUUACUGUACAGCAAGGAAACAUGGACUCCGUACAGGAAACACCUGCAUCAGCUCGAAGCAUGGCUGGAUCUGUGACAUCGAAUGGCAAGGCCGCAUAGUCAACACCAAGGUCUUGGAGAUGUGUGGAACUACAAGCACAGAGUCACUCAGCCCAGCUGCAGUUAGCUGAUCAUGUAGUAUGCAUUGCUCCAGCAUACCAAAAGCACUGUGUUAUGGUCAGCUAGAGGAAGGCAGACGUUGAAUCAAACGCCCAUAUCUACACGUUAUGGAGAAACUAAAAGCAAAACUAAAGAACUGUGGCUUGAUCCUGUCCACCUUUGAACCAUAAACAACAAUUGUGGCAAAACGUUUGAGGAGAACUACAUCAUCACGGCAAAGCAGAAACGAGCAGCGAUGCUGCCACCAGGACCACGGCCUUCCACUGUGAUGACUGCAGCAGAGAGUUUGGGUCACGCAGGCGACUGUCACCGGCGCUGAGACGAUCAUUUGUCGACACCAGGGAGAGAGACACCAUCAACAGAGUGCAUUACCUUUUCCAGCUACAUCUUUACCAUGACAAGAUAUCUGUGAAAAAUGAUGAAUUGAUGUCUUCACCCACUAUCAAACAGAAGCCAGUGGAAUACACAGACACAUUUUCAUGCUUAUUCCCAGUGAAUGACCCCCCCACCUCCCCCGACAUCGCAUCAAAUCCUCCUAUCACACUUUAGAGGCAAAUGACAUCCACAUCAGUAUCAGCAAAAUCCAUAUCAGUUUCCCUUGUCCUCCUGUGGCAGGUGUUUCAUCAAAGUGACGGCUUCUUCUGUUCAAUCUGUUGAUCCAUCUGAACAGGAAACUCAGAACAAAUGGUUCUGUUGUCUGUCAUCAGCUGAUCACUGUUAAUCAUAAUAUCACCACUAGGCCAUCAAAGCAUCUUACCUUUGAGGGACGUUGGUUUUUACCAUCACACAUUUUUAACAAACCACUACAGUAUGUAUGGAAUUCCAAAGCCGGCAGGUCAUUUGUAAUUCACCUUGAGAUGAAGGCAAUGACAGCAGCAGAGAGUUACACCUUGAUGAUAUUAGCGACCAUUGUUGGAUGUGUCUUAAUGGCUGCUCAAACAGGAUAUUGACCUAAGAAAAGUAAGCCUGCAGGGCUUUAUGAUUCUUAGCAGAAUGAAGGAAAGCCAUGGAUCCCGUUGAGAGUGACACUUUGGUCAUCCAUUCAUAGUCAUUCAUCACAGAUGCGGGAAGUGGGAUUCCUAUAUCCAUUAAGCCAAGAUAGAUGCACAGUUCCCUGGUGGCCAUUUAAGUGAGCGAGUCCAUCCAGGAGGGGUCAGCUCUUCAGAAAUAGCCUUGAACCUACCUUGAAAUCCCAAAGCAUUCAUUGUGGAUUAGAAGCGAUGCCUGGGUGAGUGGGGAACGUAUCAUCAUUGAUUUUUCUCCACUGUAAUUGUUACAGUUUGGACUUUGUUUUAUUACUGAAACAGCCUGUCAGUCAGAGGCACUGGAAUCAGUCUGACAGCACUAGUCAUCUGUCAUCUGAUCUCUGAACACUUCUGAGAAUCAACAGAUCACUCGUCAGUGUCACCUUCAUGUAUGAGCGUCUCCUUGUCUUUGACCGUAUAUCUGACCCAUGCUGUUCUGCACAGAAGAAAGUCAUGACAGUUUCAUGCAAAGACAAAGGAUCACGGCAAUUUACAGAAAUGCGUCUCAGUUUCUGUGCUCGACCGUUCUGAUUUUGGGCAAACACGAAGAAAUGAAACCUGACUACAAAUGUGUUUUUAUUGUUUUAGCAGGAAAUGAUCUUUGAUUUCUAACUAGUGCAUCAACAAUGAA